UACGGAGGAUCCGAGCGUUAUCCGGAUUUAUUGGGUUUAAAGGGAGCGUAGGCGGACGCUUAAGUCAGUUGUGAAAGUUUGCGGCUCAACCGUAAAAUUGCAGUUGAUACUGGGUGUCUUGAGUACAGUAGAGGCAGGCGGAAUUCGUGGUGUAGCGGUGAAAUGCUUAGAUAUCACGAAGAACUCCGAUUGCGAAGGCAGCUUGCUGGACUGUAACUGACGCUGAUGCUCGAAAGUGUGGGUAUCAAACA
rnacentral:rRNA from 1 species